rnacentral:rRNA from 1 species
UACGUAGGGUGCGAGCGUUGUCCGGAAUUAUUGGGCGUAAAGAGCUCGUAGGCGGUCUGUCGCGUCGGUCGUGAAAACCUGCAGCUUAACUGUGGGCGUGCGGUCGAUACGGGCAUGACUGGAGUUCGGCAGGGGAGACUGGAAUUCCUGGUGUAGCGGUGAGAUGCGCAGAUAUCAGGAGGAACACCGGUGGCGAAGGCGCCACUCUGGGCCGGUACUGACGCUGAGGAGCGAAAGCGUGGGGAGCGAACAGG